GAUGAACGCUGGCGGCGUGCCUAAUACAUGCAAGUCGAGCGAACGGACGAGAAGCUUGCUUCUCUGAUGUUAGCGGCGGACGGGUGAGUAACACGUGGAUAACCUACCUAUAGGACUGGGAUAACUUCGGGAAACCGGAGCUAAUACCGGAUAAUAUUUUGAACCGCAUGGUUCAAAAGUGAAAGACGGUCUUGCUGUCACUUAUAGAUGGAUCCGCGCUGCAUUAGCUAGUUGGUAAGGUAACGGCUUACCAAGGCAACGAUGCAUAGCCGACCUGAGAGGGUGAUCGGCCACACUGGAACUGAGACACGGUCCAGACUCCUACGGGAGGCAGCAGUAGGGAAUCUUCCGCAAUGGGCGAAAGCCUGACGGAGCAACGCCGCGUGAGUGAUGAAGGUCUUCGGAUCGUAAAACUCUGUUAUUAGGGAAGAACAUAUGUGUAAGUAACUGUGCACAUCUUGGCGGUACCUAAUCAGAAAGCCACGGCUAACUACGUG
rnacentral:rRNA from 1 species